GCUCAAAUUUGAAAUCUAGCACCUUCGGUGUUCGAGUUGUAAUUUGAAGAUGGUAACCUUGGGUUUGGCUCUUGUCUAUGUUCCUUGGAACAGGACGUCAUAGAGGGUGAGAAUCCCGUCUGAUGAGAUGCCCAUUCCUAUGUAAGGUGCUAUCGAAGAGUCGAGUUGUUUGGGAAUGCAGCUCUAAGUGGGUGGUAAAUUCCAUCUAAAGCUAAAUAUUGGCGAGAGACCGAUAGCGAACAAGUACAGUGAUGGAAAGAUGAAAAGAACUUUGAAAAGAGAGUGAAAAAGUACGUGAAAUUGUUGAAAGGGAAGGGCAUUAGAUCAGACUUGGUGUUUUACGAUUAUCUUCUCUUCUUGAGUUGUGCACUCGUAUUUCACUGGGCCAGCAUCGAUUCGGAUGGCAAGAUAAUGGCAGUUGAAUGUGGCUUCACUUCGGUGGAGUGUUAUAGCUUCUGCUGAUAUUGCCUGUCUGGAUCGAGGGCUGCGUCUUUUGACUAGGAUGCUGGCGUAAUGAUCUAAUGCCG
rnacentral:rRNA from 1 species